rnacentral:tRNA from 1 species
GCGGCAGUAGCUCAGUUGGUAGAGCAUGGGCUUCCCAAGCCCAGGGUCGCGGGUUCGAGCCCCGUCUGCCGCUCCU